UGUUCUUAGCUAAUAUUCAAGUGCGAAAUCGAAGACCCAGGGCAACCAGCUAUGUGAAUCUUAAUAGUUUCUUCCUAAAAAAAAAGGCGGCAGUUAAGAAGAUUCAAGUUAUUCAAAACAGCUGCUGUUCAAACAAAAGGUCUUUUCAGCUUAUCGCGAAAUCAAGGAUUUUUAGCAAUGAGAGCAUGUCCUUAGAAUAAGAUGACAAAAAGCGGAAAAGGGGGACUUUCAUAGUGAGAGGCUACUUUUCAUCAGUAAAGCUCUUUUUUUUUUAUUGACUCGGGGUUAUUGCUUUCCUUUUAGAGAUGGAGAACACCCCAUGCGGCUAAAAUAAGUUUCAACUCAUCGUUUCUGUUGCAAGAAGGAAAUUGUAGAGCUCAUCCGUGUAUUCUAGGGUAGUUUUAAUGUCGCCGGAAGCUUAAACUUAAUAACAUUUAAGAGAAGUUUUGGCUAAAACUAAUAUAGAUAUUGAUUACAGCUUGGAUUAUGAAUUAGAAUAAACUAAAAAAAAAGAGGUCGUCAAACACGAUGCUUAACUUGCUUUUUAUGGAGAAAUACUUGUUAAUUUCUUGCUUGCGAUUCAAUGAAAGUGUCUUUUGUGUGUUAAAGCGAGGUGCCUUAUCAGCUCACAUAAAUUGUUCCGGUUUUGGCACCGAAUGUGUUGGAAGAAUAAAAGAAUCGAUAACUUUAUUCAGUUCUUCUCUGUUCGAUUAUGCUACUAACUUCGCUUUUUAUGUAAA